AUGGGAUUGGCUCCUUUUCUUGUUGCUACAUGCCACAAGUGUUUGUUUCACCUAGGCAAAGGAAGGAAGGAAGGAAGGAAGGAAGGAAGGAAGGAAGGAAGGAAGGAAGGAAGGAAGGAAGGAAGGACGGAAGGAAGGAAGGAAGGAGACAACACUUUUUCUCGGCCUGCCCAAUUGCUCUCUUUCAGUAAGAAAAGGAGUUCUGGCACAGGAGGCAAUGAGACAGAAAAUCAAGUCCCCUGAGAAUACAAAAGCAAAGUUUAUUUUCACAUAGCUAUGAGAAGGCGGGACAGCUGUACACCCCAAAAGGUUUGUACUUGCAAAUGGCUGCCACAAAGCAUGAUGUCGUAAACAAAGGGUAUAUAUCUCGGCUUAUCUAAAUUUGACCAAUUACUGAGGGUCUUCUUCACCUCCACACCUCUUUGGCACAAGUGGUGUUUGUGAUCUCACUUGUUGAUCUCAAGCUAGCAUUUGGCCUUGGAACUUUCUGGAGAAAGGUACCAGCUCAAGAGAAACGGAGGGGCACAGGUCCUUUGUUACUUUGGCUCAUACAAAGAGCUUGUUGUCUAUAUAUGAAGCUAAUAUGAUAUAAGCAGAGGCAAAGCUAUAUAUGCAAAAGUCUACUAAUUUCUGGCCCAUGGUUCCUUCAUUACUGUUUUUAUCUUUUAUACUGCGAAUUGUAUUUAUAUUGUUUAUUUCGUCAAUGUUUUUCGGGCCUUUGCCCCAUAUAAGCCGCCCCAAGUCCCCACGGGGAGAUGGUGGCUGGGUAUAAAUAAAGUUUUAUUAUAUUAUUAUUAUUAUUAUUCAGGAAUACACCAUCCAAGCAUUCCUGAUAGUACAGGUUUUCCCCUGAUAUUAAGUCUUAGUGCAGUAGAGUGUCGCUUAUCCAACAUAAAUGGGCCGGCAGAAUGUUGGAUAAGCAAAUAUGUUGGAUAAUAAGGAGGGAUUAAGGAAAAGCCUAUUAAACAUCAAAUUAGGUUAUGAUUUUACAAAUUAAACACCAAAACAUCAUGUUAUAAAACAAAUUUGACAGAAAAAGUAGUUCAAUAUGCAGUAAUGCUAUGUAGUAAUUACUGUAUUUAUGAAUUUAGCACCAAAAUAUCACAAUGUAUUGAAAACAUUGACUACAAAAAUGAGUUGGAUAAUCCAGAAUGUUGGCUAAGCAAAUGUUGGAUAAGUGAGACUCUACUGUACUAUGAUAAAAAUCUUGGGUUGGCUCCAAAAAGGAACUGGGCCAAAGAAAGUGCAAGUAAUGUCAGUUAGAAUCAGGGAGAGGUAGAUACCAGAACUAUUGUCCCAUUAAAGUGCUGGGGAAGGUGUACACGAGGA
rnacentral:lncRNA from 1 species